rnacentral:lncRNA from 1 species
CUAAGUCCUAAGUGCUAAGUGGUUACAAGGGACCCCAGAAUCAUGCUGGAGGUGAAACAGUGACAGAACGGGCACUUCCAGUAAGAAACUGAAGACUGGCUGCACAUCAAUUCACUCAGCGACUGGAGGUAGAGCUUUUGGAAACAGACUCUAUGACUACAUGCAGAAACGCUAGCAAUUGUUUCAUCUGGGUCCUAUAGAAGACUGUGACCUUCUGGGGAGGAUCUGUCAAUUCACUGAUGUUAGAAAAGUAACCAGCUUUAACUCAGGGCAGACUGACUUGGAAUAAUGUAAAACCAAACCAGGAUAUCAUAAGCUCACUGGCUGUUGGCAGAAUUCAGUUCCUCGGAGCUGUAGGACUGAGGCCCUCAACUGCUAGAGGUUUCCC